CGCGAUUUAAUUUAAAAAAUACUUGAAAAAGAGCACGUCGCCGCCUUCGUAGCGGAAGAGACGACGAAACCCACCGAUCGAUCGGGUCGCCUGAAUCUCCCGACGCCGGCAGCGACUUCGCCUGAUUCCAUACAAGCAUUUCCUUCCUUAUUUUUAUAGCAUCGGUGAGAUCUCCUUUCUUCACCGCUUCCAGCUGCGUUCCGAAUUCUUCUGCUCAUGUUUUCAUGGGUCGGAAUGACCUAGGGCGUGGGUACCGCGGCUCUGCCAUUUCCGGCGGUGGAGCUUCUGAUGUUCGAUUUGUUUCCCCUGUCCCUCCUUUCCCUGCUCUCGACCUUCCUUCGGUUCUGGCUCCCGGGGAGCAGUCGACGGCCGCCGGGCUCUCAAAACCCCGUCUUGCGAAUGCGAGGAAGAAGCGUGCAUCCUCCCGUGUGAGGCUGGAUGUGAUUUCGGGCACUGAGGAUGAAACAAGGUUCAAUCCCUUUCGUUACGGUGCGGCAGUUGCGGCAUCGGAUGCUCCCGGGCCGAAUGAGUUUGGAGGAACGCACGGGCAUCAGGACAAGUUCAUUGGAUGGAAUCCAUUUCAUGCCAAAGAGGAGGAGAAAGUUUCAGAGAAUUCGGAAUCAGGUAAGUUUGAGUCUUUGAAGCAUGAAGUUGAUGCUGGUGGUUUUGUCUUUCGGAGUGGCUCUAAGACAAGCUCCAGGUUCGAGCAUAGCACCGAAUAUCGUUCUUCGGAGCUGGAGCAUAGUGAUUAUGAGUCUAAUCCAACAUCCAGAAAUUUAGGAGCUGAGAAUACUGCAUUUAGCCAUGACAGAAGUGGUUGUGAUGCUGCUGCUGAUAUAUUCCUGCUUGGGAGGGAAUUGAAGGAAGACACUAGUUUUAAAAGUGUUAGUUCUGCAUUUAGCCAUGACAGAAGUGGUAGUUCUCAGAUAGGGAAGUCUAAAAGUGUUCCAUUUGCCGGAGAGGUAAUUAAUAGUUUUAAAAGUGGUAGACCUAAUAAACUAUCAAGCGAAACAUCUGCCUUUGUGGAUAGAACGCCCAUGCAUUCUGAUUCAAUAGGUCUGAGCACAGGUGAUACCUUGAAUUGUGGCAAGCUGCUGAAUCCUGGGGUUCCAUUUGUAAAUAGUUUUGUACCUAGAAAGCUUGAAAAUACCUUUGUUUUUGGGGAAAAUUCAGCAAGCAAUUCAGAUUCAAAAGAUAGUGUUGCUAAGAGCACUAGACAACCUGUAAAAAGUGGAACUUGUGAUGAUUUUUCUUCCAUAUUUAAUAGUCGGGUGCGGAUAUGUUCUAAUUCAGUUGAUAGUUCUUUUAAAGCUUCUGAUAGUCCUUCAUUCUCUAGUCUUCAUGAUCAAAUGGAGAAGCUGAAUUUGCAAAAUUCUGAUGAUGCUAUUCUUUUUGAAAGGAUUAACCAAGGCAAAGAGGAUACUAGACUAAAUUCUGCUAAUUUUUUCGUUUUUGGUAAUAAUAAUUCUGCUCCGAGUAGCUUUCAUGCUGAAUUAGAGAAGCUGAAUUUGCAAACUCCUGUUGAUAAUAUUAAUACAGAAAGGGGAAACCAAGCUGUUGAGAGUGCUAAACUUAAUUCUAUUAAUCCUUUCAUGUCCCAUGAGUCUGUUCCCAGUAGCUUUCAAAAUGUAAUGGAGAAGUUGAAUUUGCAAAGUUCUGGUGAUGAUUUUGCUUCUCAAAAAAGAAACCAAGAUGAUGACAGCACAAAACAUGAUCCUGUUGAUGUUUUUGUGUUUGGUGAAUGUUUUCCUAGUAAUCUUCAUGAUGAAAUGGAGAAGAUGAAUUUGCAAGAUUCAGGUGAUGAUAUUUCUUCCGAAAUGAGAAACCAAGCUGAUGAGAGUACAAAACACAAAAUGGCUAGUUCUUUUGUGUUUGUUAAUGACAAGUCUUCUUUGACUUCCUCUGCCUGUAGUCCUGUAAAUCCAUCAGCUGAGAUGGAUAACAAAGUGGAGAUUCAGAGAGAGCUAGAAUCAGAUAAUGUCAGGACUGUCUUCAAUUUCACAGGUAUGCCAGAGCAAGCAGGAAUUGCACAAACAGAAUUUAGAAGUUCAAAAACUACAGAAGACAUAUUGAAGGAGAGUUUAUUUUCUGGACGAUGUCAAACUAUGCCAUUCAUUGGAAGGAAGGCUGAUUGUAAAGAUUUCAGAAUGAGAAAAAGAAAUAGUAAACUAAAAAAUAUCAUUCUACCGCAUCAAACCUUUGCUCAAACAUUUUCCUCCAUUGAAGAAGUGUUUGAAAGUAAAUAUCCAGAUUCUGUUGAUUGUUGCUUAUCGAAGGAUUAUUCUCCUUAUCAAGAGAACUUAGUUGCUGAACCAAGUUUAAGAGAAGAUUCAGUACCAUCAGGUAAAUCCAAACAUGUUGCCUCAACCCAGGCAUCUAUCGAUACACAAAAAUCAAUCCAUUUAGAUGAAAGUGAAUGCCUUAUUUCUACCACACAAAACUUGAAUAACACUGGAGAUGAUCCAACACAUGGUGAACUAAAUCAAAAUGAUUCUGUAUCUUAUUUAGACAGAGAAUUUGGUCUCAAAUAUUCAGAAAAAUUUGUUCCAAAGUCUGAAACUGAGGAUGUUGCUUGUGGAAGUAGCAUUGCUGCAACAGAGAUUGAACCUCUAGGUGCUGGUCAGGGAGGAACAUGCUUUACUUUCAAUUCUUCUGUAGAAGACUUUGAUGGUGAAAAUUUUAUGUUUGGUGCAUCAUCUUUGAUUCAAAGUCCAUUGUCAGCAUCAAAGUAUCAAUACCGAAAGAAAAACAAGAUGAAAGUUGUUCAUGAGAUUUUAAAUCCUAUUUCAAAUAUUGCUCCCAUGGAUUCAUCAAUAAAUAUUCUUCAAAUUCCCAGCAAGUCAAUGCAACCAAAUCAUGCAAUAGGAAAUAAAAAUGUGAGCAAUACUGGAGAUGGCACAAAUACCAGCCUGGAGGUCAAGAAAGAGUUCAUAAUUUCUGACCCUGGAAGAGUAGCAGAACAGGAAGCUUGUGAAAAGUGGAGACUUAGGGGUAAUCAAGCUUAUGCAGAAGGACAUCUUCUCGAAGCUGAAGAGUACUAUACACGAGGGCUGAACUCUAUCUUUCAGAAAGAAAAUACUCAAAGCUGCAAUCAAGCAUUGAUGUUGUGCUAUAGUAAUCGUUCAGCUGCACGGAUUUCCCUUGGAAGAAUGAGAGAUGCUCUUAAUGACUGUAUGCUAGCUAUUGCAAUAGAUUCCAGCUUCCUCCGGGCUCAAGUCAGGGCUGCAAGUUGCCAUCUCACACUGGGUGAAGUUGAUGAAGCAAUAAAAUUUUUUAAUGACUGCUUGCUCUCAAAACAUGAUGGGAAUCUGGAUGAAAAAAUAUUGACACAGUCUUCUGAUGGACUUCAGAAAGCUCAGCAAGUGGCUGAUCACAUGAGCCAGGCUGAGGAGCUUUUACUCAAAAGGACAUCUGAUGGAGUGACAAAGGCGUUACAAUUGAUCUCUGAGUCCUUAAUAAUAAGUGCACAUUCAGAAAAAUUAAUGGCAAUGAAAGCUGAGGCUCUUCUCAUGCUUCAAAGGUAUGAAGAAGUAAUCAACUUUUGUGAGCAGACUAUGGGACAUGCCGAAGUUAAUGCUUUAUCUUCUGGAGCCAAUUUACAAUCAAACAAAGAAGAUAACUCUGUAAAUCUCAAAUUUUUUCCCCUAUAUGGUUGGCGUUGGCUCCUAAAGGCAAAGGCUAACUUCUAUUUAGGAAGACUAGAUCAAGCAUUUGAAUUGCUGAAGAAGCUUGAACAAGGGAAAAGUAUAGUGGACAAGGAUAGCAGCAAAUCAGACUCUUCCACAUCACUGUAUGCCUCCGUAUGUGAGCUGUUACGCCUUAAACAUGUCUACAGAGACUUUGGCUAUCAAAUUUAGAGGAAAGAAUUAUGCAGUAUGGGAAUUUCAGUUCAGAAUGUUUUUGAAAGGGAAGGAGCUUUGGAAUCAUAUUGACGGGUUUGCUCCUACUCCUAAAGAAGUACAGUGAAGGAGAUGUGGGAUUAUCUGCAACGCAUAUAUCAUCAAGAUAACACUGUAAGAUGAUUUCAACUAGAACUUGAGAUUGGUAACUUUAGUCAAGGUAAUCUCCCUAUUGAGUAGUAUUAUUCUGGGUUUAUUAAUCUAAGGAGCAAAUAUUUUGGUCUUAUUUAUUCAAAGGUAGCUAAAGAGGUCUUAGCCAGCCUUCAAGCAAUUCAUAAAGAUAGUAGACGCGAUCAGUUUUUGAUGAAAUUGGGCCAGAAUUUGAAGUUGCACGGGUUGGAUUACUGAAUAGAAAUCCUAUUCCUUCCUUGGAUAUAUGUCUUGGAGAAUUGUUGCGUGAAGAACAAAGAAUGGCUACACAAGUUGUUUAGGUUCAUCCAAGGAAAUAUCUAAGGUUGUUAAUGUUGCUUAUGCUGCUCAAGGGAAGAACCAAGAGAAGGGACAAAUGCAGUGCUAUAGUUGCAAAGUGUUGAGGCAAUUGCUCGCAAUUGUGGUAAAAAAUUCUGCAAUUAUUGUAAACAGAAUGAACACAUUAUCAAGUAAUGUCCUACAUGCCUAGAAAAUCGACGAGGCCAAGCUAAGCUGCUAUCUCAAAUCCUACCACUAUCAAUUCUACAGCCACAAUUGCUAGCACAAGUCAGUCUUUUGCUACUCAGAAAUGUACCAACAGAUGAUCAUCACAGCAUUUUCUACUCUUGGACUUCAUAGUCAAGGCUGCUGGAAAUCAAGCCUUUAAAGAGGGAAGACAUCUUGAUGCAAUAAAGCAUUACAGUGCUGCUUUAGCAUUUAAUAUUGAAUCACGUCCUUUUGCAGCAAUAUGCCUCUGUAACCGUGCUGCUGCAUAUCAAUC